UACGUAGGGUCCGAGCGUUGUCCGGAAUUAUUGGGCGUAAAGGGCUCGUAGGCGGUUUGUCGCGUCGGGAGUGAAAACACGGGGCUUAACCCCGUGCCUGCAUCCGAUACGGGCAGACUAGAGGUAUGCAGGGGAGAACGGAAUUCCUGGUGUAGCGGUGAAAUGCGCAGAUAUCAGGAGGAACACCGGUGGCGAAGGCGGUUCUCUGGGCAUUACCCGACGCUGAGGAGCGAAAGUGUGGGGAGCGAACAGG
rnacentral:rRNA from 1 species